UUGCAUUUCCUUCGAAGGUCACGGAGAUCAUUACGAAAAACGUGUCAUGCGACGGCGAAGAGGUUGGGUGAGGACGACACGUGUAACAUCAUUAUCAAGUAGGUAAAAUAGCCGGAAGGUAUAAGAUGUGGGUCAGGGUGAGAAAAAGUCGUAUAAAAGGAGAGAGAAAAAUUGACAUGGAUCAGUCGAGUGAGUAUCUCCGACACGGUAACAACUUCAGCGCACUAUUGGUCACCUGCUGCAUUCUUCAUCGUAUCAUCAGUUCGCAAUCAUGGUAAACUAUGGCGUUGUUCUGCUGUUGGGUGUUGAAUCGCUGACGGUUGGGUCGACCACUGGUGUACCGAUGUCUCCUGGUCCUGUGUAUGGUGGAUAUCAAAGCACAACAUUGCUGUCUUAAUACUCAUCAUCAACCAAUGCUGCUCCAGCUUACACCACCAAGGCUUCAGACAAGUUGCAUUAAAGGAGAGAAAAGGCUUUUCCGACACGACAACAACUUCCGCGCACAAUUUGUCACCAACUGCCUUCUUCAUCGUAUAAAGCGUAAACUGUGGCGUCGUGCUGCUGUUGGUUGUUGUCCUGAAAUACUACACCACCGAGGCUUCAAAGUAUUACACUACAAUUUAUGCUGCUGCGAGAUGCAUCACUAAAGAGCCCGAUUCACUCUGGCGCCGUGCUGCUGUUUGGUGUCUUAUCGUUGAAGGUUGGGUCGACCACGGGUUUACUGAUGUCUUCUGGUCAUGGUGGAGACCAAGCAACAGCAGCGAAAGAAUACUACACCACGCCGCCGCCUUCGCAACAUCUACUUACAACACCGAGGCCCCCAAGUGGUACACCACCAAGGCUCAAGAGUUACGCUACAAAUUACGCUGCCCCGAGUUACAUCACCAAAGCGCCUGAGUACUACAUCCCCGAGGCACUACAACUGAGGCGGCGAAGUACUACGUAGCCUAGGCUUACAACACAGCAGCUGCUCCUUCAUACUACGUUGAACUGAAAUACUACACCAAGGCUGCAGUUGACUACACCACAACCUACGCUUCACUUAGCUACUAUGACGAAGCCCCCAACUACUACACCGAAGAGGCCACAUGUUACACACCAACGUACAGUGCCCCAGUUUACUACACCGAGGAACCCAAGUAUUACUCUGCUCCAAGCUACUACCAAACUGAGGCUCCUGUUAACCAAGGCCACCGAGUAUUAUACUACAACCAAACGUUAACUAUGGCGUCGUGCUGCUGUUGGUUGUAUGAUCCUUGAUGGCUGGGUUGACCACUGGUGUACCGAUGUCUCCUGGGUAUGGCGGAUACCAAACCGCAACGCCGGCGUCUUACUAUACAACAACAUACGCAGCAACCGGAUACUACACCCCCAAGGCCCUAGAGUAUUACACCAUAACUUAUGAUGUCCCGAACUUCUACACCGAAGCUUCGAAGUUUAACUCAGCCCCGUGUUAAACCACCAAGGCAGCGGAGUACUACACCACCAAGGCAGCGGAGUACUACACCACCAAGGCAGCGGAGUACUACACCACCAAGGCAGCGGAGUACUACACCACCAAGGCAGCGGAGUACUACACCACCAAGGCAGCGGAGUACUACACCACCAAGGCAGUGGAGUACUACACCACCAAGGCAGUGGAGUACUACACCACCAAGGCAGCGGAGUACUACACCACCAAGGCAGCGGAGUACUACACCACCAAGGCAGCGGAGUACUACACCACCAAGGCAGCGGAGUACUACACCACCAAGGCAGCGGAGUACUACACCACCAAGGCAGCGGAGUACUACACCACCAAGGCAGCGGAGUACUACACCACCAAGGCAGCGGAGUACUACACCACCAAGGCAGCUGCAUAUUCGUACUACGUUGAACCGGAAUGCUAAACCGAGGCCUCAGUUUUCUAUACUACAGCCUGCGCUUCUCCCAGGUACUAUACCACCAAGGCUACUGAGUAUUACACCACUUCUUACGCUGCUACCACCUACUUCACCGAAGCUCCGAAGUUUUACUCUGUGCUGAGUUACCACACCAUUAAGGAAGCCGAACAUUUCAUCACAAACGCUUCCGCAACUUACUACAUGAAAAUUCCUAAAUGCUAGACCCGAAAUUUCUAAUUGGUUUUAUUAAGAUAUGUCGGUUGUCUUCAUGGUCAUUGGGAAUUAAUCGUUGAUGUUGAUUGAGAAAAUAAAAUUUCUAAUGCCGGUAAUUCUUUUUUAAGACUUGGUAGUAACUUCAAGCCUGUCAACGUUGCGGCAGGUGUCUAUUGGUGUUGGACUUCUUCAAGGCCAGUAUCCUACGUUGUGAUUUGUCUGUUAAUCGAUCUGCAUACGGAUUUGUUUUAGUGGUUCGACGUGAAGUUUCAAGGGAAAGUUACGAAAGAAACUUGUAACUGUUGAUUUUUGCAAAUCUUAUAUGCAAGUAAAAGGCAAUUGGCUGAUCUUUGUAUAAU
rnacentral:misc_RNA from 1 species